rnacentral:rRNA from 1 species
AUUGAACGCUGGCGGCAUGCCUACACAUGCAAGUCGAACGGUAACAGGUCUUCGGAUGCUGACGAGUGGCGAACGGGUGAGUAAUACAUCGGAGCGUGCCUAGUAGUGGGGGAUAACUACUCGAAAGAGUGGCUAAUACCGCAUGAGAUCUACGGAUGAAAGCAGGGGAUCGCAAGACCUUGUGCUACUAGAGCGGCCGAUGGCAGAUUAGGUAGUUGGUGGGAUAAAAGCUUACCAAGCCGACGAUCUGUAGCUGGUCUGAGGGGACGAUCAGCCACACUGGGACUGAGACACGGCCCAGACUCCUACGGGAGGCAGCAGUGGGGAAUUUUGGACAAUGGGCGAAGGCCUGAUCCAGCCAUGCCGCGUGCAGGAUGAAGGCCCUCGGGUUGUAAACUGCUUUUGUACGGAACGAAAAGGACUGCCCUAAUACGGUGGUCCCAUGACGGUACCGUAAGAAUAAGCACCGGCUAACUACGUGCCAGCCGCCGCAGUAACAC